UACGGGAGGCAGCAGUGGGGAAUAUUGCACAAUGGGCGAAAGCCUGAUGCAGCUAUGCCGCGUGUAUGAAGAAGGCCUUAGGGUUGUAAAGUACUUUCAUCGGGGAGGAAAAAACAAAACUAAUAAUUUUAUUUCUUGACGUUACCCGAAAAAGAAGCACCGGCUAACUCCGUGCCAGCAGCCGCGGUAAUACGGAGGGUGCUAGCGUUAAUCAGAAUUACUGGGCAUAAAGAGCACGUAGGUGGUUUUUUUAAAGUCAGAUGUGAAAUCCCUGGGCUUAACCUGGAACUGCAUUUUGAAACUGAAAUACUAGAGUAUCGUAGAGGGAGGUAGAAUUCUAGGUGUAGCGGUGAAAUGCGUAGAUAUCUGGAGGAAUACCUGUGGCGAAAGCGGGCCUCCUAAACGGAUACUGACACUGAGGUGCGAAAGCGUGGGGAGCAAACAGGGAUUAGAUACC
rnacentral:rRNA from 1 species